AUGUCAACAUGAGCUAAUUUAGGACUACAGGAUAGAGCCUCCCCCUUAAUAGAACAAUUAACUUUCUUUCAUGAUCACACUCUUCUAAUUCUAGUAAUAAUCACUAUUUUAGUAGGCUACUUAAUAAUUAUAUUAUUUUUUAAUAACUACACUAACCGAUUCCUUCUACACGGCCAAUCUAUUGAAAUAAUUUGAACCAUCUUACCAGCUAUUGUUUUACUUUUUAUCGCCAUGCCCUCCCUCCGAUUACUUUAUCUUCUAGAUGAAAUUAAUGAACCUGUAUUAACUUUAAAAUCUAUUGGCCACCAAUGAUACUGAAGCUACGAAUAUUCUGACUUUCUAGAUCUAGAUUUUGACUCAUAUAUAAUUCCUCCUCACGAGCUUCCAGCCAAUGGAUUCCGACUACUAGAUGUUGAUAACCGAGUUAUUCUCCCUAUAAAUUCUCAAAUUCGGGUACUAGUUACCGCAGCAGAUGUCAUUCAUUCAUGAACCGUACCCUCUCUAGGUGUAAAAGUAGAUGGCACCCCUGGUCGAUUAAAUCAAACCAACUUCUUAAUUAACCGGCCAGGAUUAUUUUUUGGGCAAUGUUCUGAAAUCUGUGGGGCCAACCAUAGAUUUAUACCAAUUGUAAUUGAAAGUGUACCUGUUAGCCACUUCCUUAAAUGAAUCCUU
rnacentral:rRNA from 1 species